CUCGCAGCUGGUUGAGCCGAGCGCGGUGCAUUGUUGAACUAGAACUCGGCCGCCACCCCGAGCCUGAAGGAGAUGGGGGCUUCUGAGAAAACGCCUCCAACGUCGGGUACGCGGACCUCUCACCGCUGUGGCCUCUCCCGUUGCGGAGCACAGGCUCCGGACGCACAGGCUCAGCGGCCAUGGCUCACGGGUGCAGCCGCUCUGCGGCACGUGGGAUCCUCCCGGACGGGGGCACGAACCCGUGUCCCCUGCAUCGUCAGGCGGACUCCCAACCACUGCACCACCAGGGAAGCCCUACAUUUUAAUUUUAAUUCUUUAAAUCAGAGGUUGGUAAACUUUUCUGUAAAGGGAGGGAUACUAAAUAUUUUAGGCUUUGUUGGUCAUUGCAUUCUCUGUUGUAACUACUCUGCCACUGUAGCAUGAAAGCAGCCAUAGACAAUACAUAAAUGAAUUAAUGUGGCUGUGUUCUAAUAAAACUUUAUUUACAAAAACGGGCAAAAGGCCUGAUUUGGUCCACAGGUUAUAGUUUUCCAGUGCUGUCAAGAGAACACAAAUUAUGUGAAAUUUUUAAUUAUGAAAAAAUAUUAGUAAUUUUGCUGAAACAAAAUCAAGAAAAAUACAUUGUAGGUGUGUCAGUACCCUUCAGCCAAAGACCAGCAGAAACACACCUGUAGUUAAAUGAAUUGGAUUUAUAACUCCCAGCAGUGAGGGAGAAUACACAUCACUGGGAAUCAUAGGAUGUCUCAGAGGGUGUUAGGAAGAACCUAUUAUAGGAUCUGGGCUAAGGUUGAGUGACUUGGGGGAAGGUCUAAGAAAGUGAGGGAUUGCUCUAGAUUGGAUGUCAGAAAGCAAGGGCAGGGACUUCCCUGGUGGUCCAGUGGCUAGGAUGCUGCACUCCCAAUGCAGGGGGCCCAGGUUCCAUCCCUGGUCAGGGAACUAGAUCCUGCAUGCCACAACUAGGAGUUCACAGGCCACAACUAAAGAAUCCACUUGCCACAACUAAGAUCCCACAUGCUGCAACUAAGAACUGGCGCAGCCAAAUAAAUAAAUAAAUAUUUUAAAAAAGAAAAAAAGAUAGAAAGCAAGGACAAUGCUAUGAUUGGGGAUGCAAGUUUGAUCUAUAGAAGGAAGAGACUAGCCCAAGGGUAAAACUAAUUGGUAAGGAGUAGCAGUCACUCAUUUUAGCUAAGGUGGGGUUGUUUGAUAUUUUGACUUGUUGUCUAUGCUUAGACAAAAUAUAAAGUGACCUUGUUUUGUCUCAUUUUAUCAUGGUGUCAGAGCAAUCUUGUCUAAGACUGGUAUUCUGUGUGGUCAUUUAUGUUUAAUAACAUGACCUAGCUCGGAGUGCCAGGCCAGCCUCCUUUUUUUUUCUUUCUUAAAUGGAAUAAAUACAUAAUUUAUUAA